rnacentral:rRNA from 1 species
AUACGUAGGGGGCAAGCGUUAUCCGGAUUUACUGGGUGUAAAGGGAGCGUAGACGGUUCUGCAAGUCUGGAGUGAAAGCCCGGGGCUCAACCCCGGGACUGCUUUGGAAACUGUGGAACUGGAGUGCAGGAGAGGUAAGUGGAAUUCCUAGUGUAGCGGUGAAAUCCCCCGCGUAGAUAUUAGGAGGAACACCAGUGGCGAAGGCGGCUUACUGGACUGUAACUGACGUUGAGGCUCGAAAGCGUGGGGAGC